UGUACUUUGUCUAUGAUUGAUUUUGAGGGACAUGAACCCUCACUGUAUUGUGAAACCCUUAGGGUUUCGACAGGCGUACAUCGUGUAUGCCUAAUACAAGGAGCCAAGAAAAUCCCUUACUCCUACUAAAUCUUAACCUAUACAGAAUCCUACAGCCUAACUGUAUGAUAACAAAACACGUACGUGAUAGCCAGUUUGAAGUGGUUAGGGAUGAUCCAAAUAGGGUACCUACCCC
rnacentral:lncRNA from 1 species